AACGAACGCUGGCGGCAUGCCUAACACAUGCAAGUCGAACGAGACCUUCGGGUAUAGUGGCGCACGGGUGCGUAACGCGUGGGAACCUGCCCUUAGGUUCGGAAUAACUCCCCGAAAGGGGUGCUAAUACCGGAUAAUGUCUUCGGACCAAAGAUUUAUCGCCUUUGGAUGGGCCCGCGUUGGAUUAGCUAGUUGGUAGGGUAAAAGCCUACCAAGGCGACGAUCCAUAGCUGGUCUGAGAGGAUGAUCAGCCACACUGGGACUGAGACACGGCCCAGACUCCUACGCGAGGCAGCAGUGGGGAAUAUUGGACAAUGGGCGAAAGCCUGAUCCAGCAAUGCCGCGUGAGUGAUGAAGGCCUUAGGGUUGUAAAGCUCUUUUACCCGGGAUGAUAAUGACAGUACCGGGAGAAUAAGCUCCGGCUAACUCCGUG
rnacentral:rRNA from 1 species